CCUACGGGGGGCUGCAGUGGGGAAUAUUGGACAAUGGGCGAAAGCCUGAUCCAGCCAUGCCGCGUGUGUGAAGAAGGCCUUCGGGUUGUAAAGCACUUUCAGUGGGGAAGAAAGCCUUGGGGUUAAUACCCUCGAGGAAGGACAUCACCCACAGAAGAAGCACCGGCUAACUCCGUGCCAGCAGCCGCGGUAAUACGGAGGGUGCGAGCGUUAAUCGGAAUUACUGGGCGUAAAGCGCGCGUAGGCGGUCUGAUAAGCCGGUUGUGAAAGCCCCGGGCUCAACCUGGGAACGGCAUCCGGAACUGUCAGGCUAGAGUGCAGGAGAGGAAGGUAGAAUUCCCGGUGUAGCGGUGAAAUGCGUAGAGAUCGGGAGGAAUACCAGUGGCGAAGGCGGCCUUCUGGACUGACACUGACGCUGAGGUGCGAAAGCGUGGGUAGCAAACAGGAUUAGAUACCCGAGUAGUC
rnacentral:rRNA from 1 species